rnacentral:tRNA from 1 species
GGGGGGGUGGCUCAGUGGUUAAGAGCACUGGUAGUUCUUCCAGGAGACCAGGGUUCAAUUCCCAGCAUCCACA